UCAGCCUAUUUUCUUCAUUAUGGCCGGCCAAAGCAUGAAGUGAAGAAGAACAAAGAAAGAACAAAACCUAGGUGGGAAAAUUGAAGAAAAAGUGUGGGAUUUCAAGGGAUUAAGCUAAUAAAGGUAAAAUUUGUGAUUUUAUCUUGUGAUUUACACUACCCAUGCUUUCUUUUUCUUUUUCCAUGCUUAGAACUCAAGUUUUCAUGAUGAACCCAUGUUGGCCAAAUUUGAGAGGAGAGGUUUUGAGCAUUGAUUUUGCUAGAUUUCAAGUUAAUUAAGUGUUUUUGGUUGUUUAGUAAUGGAAAGUAUGAAAAUCUAGCAAGAAAUCACUUUGUUUUUCACAAACCCACAAGAGGUCGAAUUUUUUAGGGAGGAUAUUGAGGCUGAAAUUGAUGAUAUUUCAUGAUAUUUUGGUGGUAUUUAAUGAUUGGUGAGGCUAGAAAUUUAAUGGGAAAUUUUGGCAUGAAAAUCUAAAUUUUUACCUAAUGUAUAAACAUGUGCAAUUUAUGGUUCGGACUGAUAAAUUGAAUUAUAUUCACAGUCAUUGAGGUAUUUUAAGUAUAAUUGGAGUGUAGAAAGUGAAAAAAAAUCGAUUUGGAGUUAAAUUGGAGGUUUUAGCCAAUUACACCGAGAAUAGUGUGAAUUAGGUCGAAUACCGUAUUUAAACGGCUAUUCGGACAUUUUUGCAUUCCAUAUCAUGCAUUAGUAGUCUAAAUUAGUUUAAUUUCAAUUUAGUAUCAAUGUGGUGAAUUUCUCGAUUUUGUACUGUGUCAAGGUGGUGAGUCCUCCGAUAAAGACAAGGAAAUUGCAUCCGAGGACCAGUAGACAAAGAGUCCUCCGAUAAAGACAAGGAAAUUGCAUCCGAAGACCAGUAGACAGAGUACUUCGAAAGUUUGCAUUCUAGACAUUGUGAGUAAACUUAUUGUCAUUUUAAUUAUCUAGGGUGACUUUUAGAUGAUUUCAUGAAUUCUAUGGAAAAAUGGAUUUAAAAAGGUAAAUUUUCAUGUUUUAUGAAUAAAGGUGUUCCAAUGAAAUUAAUUUAUAAAUUGUUUUGAAAUUAAUAAUGAUUUUGAAAAAUAGAGUACAUGGAGACUGUUAAUUGUGGUAAUUUGAUUGUUUAAAUUGAUGACUUAUGUUAUAUUGUUAUUGUGUUGGCAUGACUGGCUGGGCUGUGUUUUAUGAAUUGUAUGAAUUGUUUUAUUUUACCCUUGUAGGCUGGGUAGUAUUUCAUUAGCCCUGUCAUGCCGUCAAAAUUUUAUUAUAUGGUGGAUUAUAUAUUAAUUAAUCACUGCAGUAGGUGGUUUCUGUGGACCAGCCUUUUAGAGGGGCACAGUAAACCCCAUUAUAUUCUUACCUCGAACGGAGAGGCGCGUUGGGUAUCUCCUGGGGUAAAGCUUAGGGUUCACUUCACGCCAAACCACCACGUGAGAGGGAACUCAGCCAACGCCAAGGAACGACUAUGUUUUUAAAAUAAAAACAUGAUGUAUGCGAAAUGUGAAUUUUUAAUAGCCUUGGCGGUCUCGGUAGGAUGCCUCGGCCAAGGUGUCCCUGAGAAUGAAUUUAUGGCACAAGCCUAGUUUUUAUGAGAUUCAUAAGCCUCUUUACGUAUUUUGAAUGAAAUGUGUUCUAAUACUAUGACCCAGUUUACGAUGAUUUAUUUUAUUGUCUCCAUGUACUUAACUCUAGAUAUUUAUGAUGAUGUCUGUUUACUCACUGGGAUUAUAAAAUCUUACCACUCUCCUUUUCACCCAUUUUUGGUUCAGAAUAGGCUGUAGAUAGCUGAUCUCAUCGAGGACUAUUGUUGGAAUUGCAUUUUCCAAACUGUAGGUUCACAAUCUUCUUUAUUUUUGUUUAUUCGGGGGGGGGGGGCACUUGUUAUUGUAAAUUAAAUUUCGUACUCUAGAUAUCUAUACUACUGUAUGUAGAAAUUUAUUUUGCUUUGACGCUGUAAAAAUUAUUUACGCAGUGUUUUAAAAAUAUUGUUUUAUAAGAAAAUAGAAUAUUUUACUUUAUUUCUUUUAUUUUUCUAUUACAUCCAAAUAAGCAUAAUUUCGUUUUAAAUGAAGAUUUUAGACUUUAAAACUCAUUUUUUAUUAUGAAUUAUGUGUUUUGUACUUGUAUAUUCAUUUUAGCCGGUUUCGAACUUAUUGGGAAAAAAAUGACCAAAAUACCCCUGUGAGACGAAAAUUAUUAUUUUAUUUGUUUUAAGUUGGAAACAGUUUAAAAUCUUUUACAACGUGGUAAUUGGCAACAGUUACUCACAGGGGAAAUGAUAAACUGAUAUUAAAGCCUUGCGGGGUUCAGGUUGACAUUUGGGGUAAUGAGUGUCGAUCGGGACGUUGCGACGGUUGUCACGGGCUCGAGGGGAGUACCAGGUCGUGACAUGCAUCAUCAUCACUCACAACCAUCAUAGUGUCAUUUGUGAAUGACAAUGGACCCACUGCAUUUUCGAGUGACAGUUGUGUUUGUUGCAAAGAACCAAGUAUUUCAUUCGAUGCACAUUCAGAUCGAAAUUGUGCAGACAUCAUUUGCAGACACCUUAUGUGUGUGCUGGGCUGCUCAAACUCAUGAGGAUACGUCAAACGUGAUUGUCAUGGUUGUUUGUUAGGAAAUGCAUGGUGUGGUAUGUAAGAAUAAUUUACAUUCUGUUGUAGGUGAUUACUAUGUUGGAUACCAUAUUCAUGUGGAAUAUCAUUUGCAUUUUGUGCCUUAACUAUCACAAACACAACAACUAGCCUCUCAUCUUGUAGGAUACUUGCUACAUCUUCAUCAUCUCUGAUAACUACACACGAAACCCCUACGGCAUGACUGAGCGAUGCAUGUAGCUCGAUUUCAUUAUUAUGUGAGUUGACCCCAACAACCUCUUCAACUAGCUUCACUAGGCCCGAAAAUGACAAAUCACUCCCAACACCCCUCACUCGUGUCUCACAACCCUUGUAAGUGUCAUCGUAUGUAAUCAUAAGCUUCACAUUUGG
rnacentral:lncRNA from 1 species